rnacentral:rRNA from 1 species
UGGGUGACGAGUGGCGGACGGGUGAGUAAUGUCUGGGGAUCUGCCCGAUAGAGGGGGAUAACCACUGGAAACGGUGGCUAAUACCGCAUAACGUCGCAAGACCAAAGAGGGGGACCUUCGGGCCUCUCACUAUCGGAUGAACCCAGAUGGGAUUAGCUAGUAGGCGGGGUAAUGGCCCACCUAGGCGACGAUCCCUAGCUGGUCUGAGAGGAUGACCAGCCACACUGGAACUGAGACACGGUCCAGACUCCUACGGGAGGCAGCWGUGGGGAAUAUUGCACKAUGGGCGCAAGCYUGAUGCAGCCWUGCCGCGUGUAUGAAGAAGGCYUUCGGGUUGUAAAGUACUUUCAGCGGGGAGGAAGGCGAUGSGGUUAAUAACCGCGUCGAUGACGUACCCGCAG